rnacentral:misc_RNA from 1 species
CCGAGUUAUACAACUCAUCAACCCUGUGAACAUACCUAAACGUUGCUUCGGCGGGAACAGACGGCCCCGUAACACGGGCCGCCCCCGCCAGAGGGCCCCCCUAACUCUUGUUUCUAUAAUGUUUUUCUGAGUAACCAAGCAAAUGAAUUA